AACGAACGCUGGCGGCAGGCUUAACACAUGCAAGUCGAACGAUCUGGGGGCGUCGGUCCCCGUUGCUAGUGGCGCACGGGUGAGUAACACGUGGGAAGAUGCCCUUUAGUAUGGAAGAACCAAGGGAAACGUAGGCUAAUACCGUAUAGGCCCACCGGGGGUAAGAUUUAUCGCUUAAGGGUUAGCCCGCGUCUGUUCAGGUAGUUGGUGAGGUAAUGGCUCAUCAAGCCGACGAGCAGUAGCUGGUCUGCGAGGAUGAUCACCACCACUGGGACGGAGACCCGGCCCGGACUUCUGCGGGAGGCAGCAGUGGGGAAUAUUGGACGACGGGUGCGACACUGAUGCAGCCAUGCCGCGUGAGUGAAGAAGGCCUUCGGGUUGUAAGGCUCUUUCGACAGUGACGAUGGUGACGGUACCCGUACAAGAAGCCCCGGCAAACUUCGUG
rnacentral:rRNA from 1 species